rnacentral:rRNA from 1 species
AGCUUGCUUAGUAAGUUUAGUGGCGCCCGGGUGCGUAAUACAUAGAUAACCUGCCCUUUAGUUUGGGAUAGCCACUAGAAAUGGUGAUUAAUACCAGAUACUCCCUACGGGGGAAAGAAACCUAGUUUUGCUAAAGGAUUGGUCUAUGUCCUAUCAGCUUGUUGGUGAGGUAAAGGCUCACCAAGGCUAUGACGGGUAGGGGACCUGAGAGGGUGAUCCCCCACACUGGAACUGAGAUACGGUCCAGACUCCUACGGGAGGCAGCAGUAGGGAAUAUUGCUCAAUGGGGGAAACCCUGAAGCAGCAACGCCGCGUGGAGGAUGAAGGUCUUAGGAUUGUAAACUCCUUUUGUUAGAGAAGAUAAUGACGGUAUCUAACGAAUAAGCACCGGCUAACUCCGUGCCAGCAGCCGCGGUAAUACGGAGGGUGCAAGCGUUACUCGGAAUCACUGGGCGUAAAGCGCAGGCGGGACAUUAAGUCAGAUGUGAAAUCCUAUGGCUUAACCAUAGAACUGCAUUUGAAACUGGUUUUCUAGAGUGUGGGAGAGGUAGGUGGAAUUCUUGGUGUAGGGGUAAAAUCCGUAGAUAUCAAGAGGAAUACUCAUUGCGAAGGCAACCUACUGGAACAUUACUGACGCUCAUGUGCGAAAGCGUGGGGAGCAAACAGGAUUAGAUACCCUGGUAGUCCACGCCCUAAACGAUGAAUGCUAGUUGUUGGGGUGCUUGUCACUCCAGUGAUGCAGCUAACGCAUUAAGCAUUCCGCCUGGGGAGUACGAUCGCAAGAUUAAAACUCAAAGGAAUAGACGGGGACCCGCACAAGCGGUGGAGCAUGUGGUUUAAUUCGAAGAUACGCGAAGAACCUUACCUAGGCUUGACAUUGAUAGAAUCUACUAGAAAUAGUGGAGUACCUAGUUUACUAGGACUUGAAAACAGGUGCUGCACGGCUGUCGUCAGCUCGUGUCGUGAGAUGUUGGGUUAAGUCCCGCAACGAGCGCAACCCUUAUCCUUAGUUGCUAACACAUUAAGGUGAGCACUCUAAGGAGACUGCCUCCGUAAGGAGGAGGAAGGUGAGGACGACGUCAAGUCAUCAUGGCCCUUACGCCUAGGGCUACACACGUGCUACAAUGGGGUGCACAAAGAGACGCAAUGCUGUGAAGCGGAGCAAAUCUUAAAAACAUCUCUUAGUUCGGAUUGGACUCUUGCAACUCGAGUCCAUGAAGCUGGAAUCGCUAGUAAUCGUGAAUCAGCCAUGUCACGGGGG